GUCAAAGCCAGAAUCAUUUUGAAAAACAAACACCUGGUUGGGUUAUUUUGACCCAGCAAUUGGUUUAUUAAUUGCCGCACUUUCUGGAUUCUUCGCUUCUGACUGGAUCACGCUACUCGGACCAGGCGGUAUUUCAUGAGUUCAGUAGAAUCCACUGAAUUGACCCCAACAGAUCAUAUCACCAUGACAGUGGAACUUUUUUCAGCCUUUGUAAGUAUCGACUUUAUUUGUAUUGGAUAUUAACUGAAUAAAAUUUCAAUUCUAAUGGACCUAAAAAGACAUUGAUGAUUGUUCUGUUUUUUUGGCAGUUUGUCAGAUUUUGGAAAGCACCCCUGAGAGGAAAUCCGUAUUAAACCGUUAGUGCAAGCAAUUACCAACAAGCAGAGGAGGCUACUUGUGAGACUCCUUGCAUCCCAUCUGCUGGAAACCAAUGGUGAAACCUGAGCCAUCAUCAGACACUAAGAAGGCACGUGACAAGGCAUUGGUGUAUGAAUUUCCUUGCCUGAAGGAUAUACAGCUGCUAAAGGGGAAACAGCACUGAAGAUGCCAACUCUGCUAGCUCCAUGCGUUUACAGGGGAGGAGGAGAAGUCUUCAGACCUACCACUGUGGAGGCCCAGAGGUCCUUUAUUGACAUGCAACCUGUGGGGACCAACAUGGUGGAAUAUCUGCAAAAUCAGAGAUGUUGCACGUUUUGUGCCUUGGGGACGAGCCAAGAAGGACCUGCCAGACCUUUGCCAUUGUUGGAGGCAAUGCCUCUGAGACAAACUCUUUGGUGAAGGAUGUUGAUAAGUUUUUUUUUGUCUUUGAUGUUAACUACACAAAGCAA